rnacentral:rRNA from 1 species
AACGAACGCUGGCGGCAGGCUUAACACAUGCAAGUCGAGCGCCCCGCAAGGGGAGCGGCAGACGGGUGAGUAACGCGUGGGAAUCUACCGUGCCCUACGGAAUAACGCAUGGAAACGUGUGCUAAUACCGUAUACGCCCUACGGGGGAAAGAUUUAUCGGGGUAUGAUGAGCCCGCGUUGGAUUAGCUAGUUGGUGGGGUAAAGGCCUACCCAGGCGACGAUCCAUAGCUGGGCUGAGAGGAUGAGCAGCCACAUUGGGACUGAGACACGGCCCAAACUCCUACGAGACGCAGCAGUGGGGAAUAUUGGACAAUGGGCGCAAGCCUGAUCCAGCCAUGCCGCGUGAGUGAUGAAGGUCUUAGGAUUGUAAAGCUCUUUCACCUCUGAAGAUAAUGACGGUAACCGGAGAAGAAGCCCCGGCUAACUUCGUGCCAGCCGCCGCCGUAAUAC